rnacentral:rRNA from 1 species
AUGGGCUCCUGUUCAUCCAGCCUCCACCGGGCGCUACUCCACCGGCUACUGUUCAACCACCCCUCCACCAUCUACUAUUCAUCCAGCCCUCCACACCACGGGGUCCUGUUCAGCCACCCCUCCACGGCCACCCCUCCACCGUCUACUGUUCAUCCAGCCCUCCACAACACGGGGUCCUAUUCAACCACCCCUCCACGGCCACCCCUCCACCGUCUACUGUUCAUCCAGCCCUCCACACCACGGGGUCCUGUUCAUCCAGAGGCAAUGCCACCGCUCACUGUUCAUCCACCCCCCCAGAAACACUCAUUGUUCAUCCAAUCGAUCGGCUUCAGUUAG